GAGAAACCUAUGCUCAGGGCAGCUUCGAUGAAGCUGCUCUAAAAAUACCGCGACCGACUCUACUUGAAAGAUACCCCAAAAGAUAAGCUCAAGAACGACGUCUGCGAACAUUGUGUCAGUUCCGACAAGCUAGGUUUCGAAGGAAACAAUUAAUUAAUUUAAGAAGACUCUCCACCUUCCCUAACAAUACUACAAAUAAUGCUAGGUUAAAGCGACGAAUGAAAAUGGUGGUAAGGAGAGGAGGAGCGCAAAUUAUGUGUCUUCAAGACCUACUUGACAAACUUCAAGCUCAAGAACGACGUCUGCGAACAUUGUGUCAGUUCCGACAAGCUAGGUUUCGAAGGAAACAAUUAAUUAAUUUAAGAAGACUCUCCACCUUCCUUAACAAUACUACAAAUAAUGGUAUUUAGUUA